AUUUUAACCAUCAAACUUCCUUUUUGAAGAUUUCAUUCUAUUAGGCUUACUUGAAGGCCAAUUUCUUCUAAUUUGUUGAGGAAAAGCAAGAUUAGAAAAAGAAAAAGAAAAAGAACAUGGUGAAAAGGAUGAAGAAAAUCGAUGGCAGUUUUGAAAUUGGGUAAAAAAUACUCCAUAUUAUCCUUUGACUAAGUAAUAAAAAUUUAAUUCUACUAAAACACAUCAUUAAACAACCAUAAAUAAUCACAUUGCAAAUAUCUUAAUCAUGAAGCAAUAAAACUAUCUCAUAAUAUCAUUUUUUUUAAUAUUUAGUUAUCAUUAAUGAUUUUUCUUAUUGACAUAGAUAGCUCUUAAUUCAUGUAGUUAUUUUUUAUGUCAAAAUGCAUUGACACGCAUGCAUAUUCAAUUUUAUCCCCUCAAGGACAAAUUUAUCCGACUCACUAGAGUCAAAUAGCUACUUGAAAUUCUAAGACGCGUGCAUCGUAGCCACCCUAUUUUAAUAUUUAUGACUUUAUGGUCCAACUUCAGUCCAUAAAAGAGGGCAACAUUCCCACCACACCAGAAGGUUAAUGCCUAUAUAAAUAUUUUUGCAGUGCAUAUAAAUUAACAAGCACGGAAACUGUACCGGGGUCUCACAGCAACUCGAGAAAUACAUGUUUAUCGAGAUAUUAUUUUAUUCUUAGAUGUCGAACGAGUCAGAAUGGUUCUCAGUUAUAUGAAGCUUUGUAAUAUACUUUCGGACGUGGACCAGUGUUCUGCAAUGGUUGAAGCUCCUCGAAAACAACCUCCACUAGCAUUAAUCACUGCGAAUGCUCGAGAUAGAUGUUGCUCAUGCCCCCUCCAUGGUCCACGUGGUUAGGGGCGGCACACCAUAGAAAAACAUUAACAAAGACAGGAGACAAAAAACCCGGCAAAGUCAUUAGUUUCCAUCUCCAAAUGACAGGUUGCAUGCGCAAGCUUAAUGAGAGAAUGCAAUCACAGAAUUCCCAGAAUAGAUUGGUAAAGAGUUGAUUUCACAUGGAGCUUAGAAGCCACAAACAAAACAAAAAUGGGAUUUGCCCAGGAACAGGACCCAAAUCAACUAGCAAAAUCGCGAAAACCUGACAUCAUAGAGACCCCCUCUUCACCACAGCAUCAACCAAGCUUCCAAAUGCCAGUGUGCACCAAAUACAAAAUGAGGAUCAACAUAUACCCCACACCACAUCUCAUUAGAUUACAUAAAAUUAGGAUACGAAUUUGAUCCCAGGCAAUUUUUGUUUUUAUUUCAUGUUUAAGACUGUCAAUUUUUUUAUCAGGUCUACAUCUCAUUGACAAAUUUGCACACUGUAGCGGGGUUUCUACAUCAAUUGCUAUUAAAAAAAAAUUCACUGUUUUUGUAAACCUGAACAGCCCAAAAACUGAUCAAUGGUACCAGACAAGGCGUGAACGAAGCAAGAGAAAUAUAAAGGUACAAGAAGCAGAACUAUUGCUACAAUUCGCACUAUGAAUACCAGAGGCAUUGUAAUGCUAGAUACAUUCAUAAAACCCACCAGCAGCAGGCAACGACUUUAAAUACAACUUCAAUACUUAAAUAGACACUUUGCAAGCAUAUUAACAUUCAUGAAGCCCACCAGCAAGCAACAACUUUCGAGUACAGCUUCAAUACUUAAAUAGACAAUUUGCAAGCAUAUUUAUACAAGCACUAAAACCGUCAGUUGGGGCCUAAAGCAUUUAAUGACCUUCAGGAGCAAAUGAAGUCAAGAUUUAUACACCCUUGUAAGAGUACAAUGAUAGUUUAGCAACUAGUUGUGCUGUUAAGAGCAUUUCCCAUGAUUGAUAACAUGGUGCAACCUGAAACCCCUAAGAUUGCCAUCCUGCUAUAGUGUCAACACAUUACAAAUUUACUGCUUAUAUGAAUACGCAUCAAUGCUAUGCAUAUCUAUACAAGCACUGAAGCUGUAAUGUGAAGGAACCUAAAGUCAAAUGACUCAUAUCACAAACAAAAACCAAUUGAAGUUUAAAUUCAAAGAUCUAGCUCUCACAGCACUUAAAAGUGCUGAGGACUAAAAUACCAACAUGGAAGACUUAUUGUAUGGAUCAGCAAUUAAAAUUCAAGGUAAUAUACCUCUCUUAUCUUAUUGCAUAUUGAUAUUGCUCUAAAUUUCCUUCAUUUUUGUAUUUAAUAGAAGAAAGAGAAUCACAAUUAUUUUCAAUUAUAUUAAGCUUUUAAUAUAUUAUCAUUCAAGUUAAGUCAUUGUCAAACAGGAAAACCCAUGUAAACAUAUAAACCAGAACUCUAGAACAAGACCGGCUACUAGCUGGAUUGAAAGCCAAAUAUUGUAUUCUCACAAUGAUUUUUAACCUAUAAAAGAAGUUCAUAAAACUUAUUAAUGUUUUAUGGAGUGCAAAAUAUCAUUUAAUUAACAAAAAAUAGCAUUAGGAGACAAGAGACAAUCUUUAGAUGUCCUAAGAAAUGGGUGGUUGGUUGAAUGGAUGUUGGCCAUUGCUUGCUUCCAGAGGGAAAGCAAAUUGGAACCCCAACUUAACAUGCCCCCACCACAAAAAAUAUUGGGAACAAACCAGAAAAGAACACCAAAGUCAUCAAUUCCAGCACCAUAUGACACAGGUAGCAUGAGCAAUAAUUUAAAUCAUCUAACAAAGGUUAAUCAGAUUCAGGCAUAGACUUCUAAAACAAUUCUGCCAUGUAUCUAAUCUCUGACAUCAGAGUAUAAAUACCAAUGAAGGGAUUUACACUAUUACACAUGGGGAAUUUGAUCACGAGAUCACAAUCUCAUAAUAACUAACAGUGAACAUCAUAAAGACACCUCUUACAAAAACAUCAACCAAGAAAUUCCAAAAGCCAACACACAAAAUCCCAAAUUCCAGUCACUACAUAACCCAAAAUCACAUUUCCACUAGUUUCAAAAUAUUACAUAGGAUAAAAUCAACAUAGUAUUUAGUAAUUUUAUCUUGAGAGAAAUUACACUGGUGCAUUAAAUUUAUUUAUUAGACCUAGACCAUAUUGGCAAAUCUGCAUGUUGCAAAGAAUAUUAAAUCCAUUAG